AAGAAAGGCACUCGAGGGCGGCAGAAGCCAUUUUGUAUCGAGCGUUGUUGGAAGAAAAAAGUGAGAACAUCGUGUUCGAAAAGAAUCGUCUGAACCCUUUUACAUAUAUAAUUCCAAGCGAGAAGGUGAGCUCGGCGGCGUGCUGUGUGAAAACUGUUUGUUUUUUCGAAAGAAGGCGAGCACUCGUCGUCAUCAUGAGUUACGGAAGGCCUCCGCCCGACGUCGACGGCAUGACUUCUCUCAAAGUGGACAACCUGACGUACCGAACCACACCGGAGACCCUUCGGCACGUAUUCGAGAAGUAUGGCCGCGUCGGGGACGUGUACAUCCCGCGAGACCGCUAUUCCAAAGACAGCCGCGGGUUCGCUUUCGUCCGCUUCCACGACAAGCGCGACGCCGAGGACGCCAUGGACGCCAUGGACGGCGCCCUCCUGGACGGACGCGAGCUGCGGGUGCAGAUGGCCCGCUAUGGACGACCCCCGGAUUCGCAUUACGGCGGUGGCGGACGGCGAGGAAGUGGCGGUGGUGGUGGUGGAGGAGGAGGUGGAGGAGGUGGAGGAGGAGGGCCGCCCAGGAGGUAUGGUGGCUCUAGUCGCCGAAGCAGAAGCCCUCGACCCCGAAGACGCAGCCGAUCUCGCAGCAGGUCCCGCUCUCGCUCCCGAAGCAGAUCCCGUUACAGCCGCUCCCGCUCCAGGUCCUACUCCAGAUCCAAGUCCCGCUCCCCCAGGAACAAGAAGCCCAACGCCAAGUCCAGGUCCCGGUCCCGCUCUAGGUCCGCCAGCCGUUCUGCCUCCCCUCCAAAAAGAGGCUCUGGGUCCAGAUCUAAAAGCCCACCUAAGUCGCCCGCCAGGAACGGAGGAGAAUCGCCCUAGUUGUCAGCAACAAGGUGAAACACGGAUGAUGAGGUUCCUGGACAAGAAGUUGCUUGAUCCUGAAGGUUGUCCUCACAGCUUCUGCGUCUUUUUUUUUGCUUCUUUUUUUCCCUUUUUUUCUUCUUUUUGGUUUCACCCCUUCGCUCUCAAGCGAUCGGGCCAGUAUUGCAAGGAACGUUUACUGUUCUGAGGUUUCUAGCAGUCUGUCCACUUGCUGUCCUUUCUGGACUCCGAAGCAUUCAGAGUUAGUGUGAUUUAAUACAUUUAAAGCUUAAUAAUGUUAUAGUCUGCUGUUAUCGUCAUGAGCUUUUUUUAUUUUCAAUAUUUUGUCUUUUGUGCACUAGGCGCAGUUGUGUAGCAGGUGUUGCUAAGGUGUUGCUGUGUGUUGCUGGUGUGUUGCUGUGUCCAGAACGCUGCAGUAUUCUUCCCUCAGCGGUUUUUUAGUUGCACCAACUGGAGCUGUGCUGCGGCAACCUGGAAGCUCUGCAGAGCCGUUUUGGUCAACUUAAACUAUUGUAUUACACACAAGCUUAAACAUCCAUCACUUAAAGCUUAUUGCGGUAUUUUGGAAAUGAAAAUGAGCACUCAACAGUAUAGAAACAGAUGUGUGUAUACAAUACCCAGAAAAAGUUGGAUAUAACUCAUUUGGGACGAACUUAAAAUGCAUUGUAACCUUUAUAGGUGAACUUAGUUUGAAUCAGAUUUGAACCCCUAACCACUCUUCUAUCGUGCUACCACAAGAGAUGAGCAAUAGACUAAAUUUAAGCGUAAGUUAGGUAUAAUGUAGUUUUUGAAAUUUUUAUUAUUUUUUUUUUUGUAGUGAUUUGAUGUCAGAUUAUUUAUUUAUUUUUUUAAUGGCUGCAUGGCCAUCCAUCCAUUUUUCUACACCACGUACCCUGUUGAGGGUUGCUGGAGCCUAUCCCAGGUGACUUUAGGCAAGAGGUGGCGUUACACCCUGGAAUGGUCGCCAGUCAAUCACGGUGCAUAGAAAGAACCACUACACCGUUUUUGUUUAAAGGCUGACCAAAACACAAACGCUGUCCUACACUUUCAACCUAAAUUGUAAUAUUUGUUCCAUGAGAUUUCACAAUUUUUUUUUCUCCAUUGCGGGCAAGCGAUAUCGACCAUUUAAUGGUUAUAAUUGAUAGUAAGGAGGUUUCUUUCAGGGGCCAGAAAAGUGAUUGACUAUUGCUGACCUAAACUGAAAUCAUGGCAAAAACUUGUUGGGGUUAUGCAGCCAGAUUUAUCCCAAAAGGUGUUGUUUUCGUCAACGUAAAUUGUUGCACAGAGAAGACUGCAAGACUUAGUCGCAACUUCUGAAGGGCCAGACUGGGUUCACGGGGUUUGUGGAAGCCACAUUCUCAAAGACCCCUUUGCUGAUGCAACUAAGGGUGAUGACUGCCUCCCAACUGGGAAAGAAGACUACAUCCACAUAAGAAUCCAACAGCGGAACGGCAGGAAGACCCUCACUACUGUCCAGGGCAUUGCUGCAGAGUAUGACAAGAA